AUGACCGGUGCAACUCCCAGCCACAUCUCUCACAAAUUCAUCUCCAUUGCCGACCAAAUACGAGUGCAAAAUCGCCUGCUCCCUAGCCUCUCAACCAUGUCAGGUGUAAAUAGAACAGCCGCCAGUCGUCGCCUCCGCCCAUCGACCACACAUCAUGCAGAGAACAAGACGUACAAUGCUGAGAGAACAACACGUACAAUAUUGAGAGAACUAUGGCAUGAUUCGGAGAAAAACCGUCACGUUCCUCGUGCACCGUCAGCACACACCAAGCAUGAUUCAAAAGUGGUGGAUCCAAAAUUUGCAAACUUACUGGGAGAAGUGCUAAUGAAAGGUACCAGGCAGGUUAGCUAG
rnacentral:rRNA from 1 species